AUGCUUGCUCCAGCAGCACAUAUAUUAAAAUUAGAGGGAGUGAGAGAAGAUUAGCAUGGCCCCUCACAAGGAUGACAAGAUAA
rnacentral:snRNA from 1 species